rnacentral:misc_RNA from 1 species
GGAAGUAAAAGUCGUAACAGGGUUUCUCUAAUGAUUCUUCUAUGAAGCUUUGCACACAGCGACUCAAAAUAACUUGUGGAGGUUCACUGUCAAAAAGUGAGCGAUGUCACUGAGAUGCUAGGAAUCCAUCUGGAAUGCCAGCAGCCUUGGUUCUGAGUGUCAGAAUUGGGGUUCACAGAUUAAGUGGUGACAGUCAAGGUGGUUCACCAGUGGGGUGAACAAAUAUACCUGAUUAAGAUAUAAUCGGUCAAAUGUUGCAAGACGUGUCUUGAGCCACGUUCCGUAGGUGAACCUGCGGAAGGAUCAUUAACGAGUAAGGGUCAUUCUGGCCCGACUUCCAACCUUUUGUUUAAUUACCAUGUUGCUUUGGCGGGCCCGUUUCACGACCGCCGGAAGUCCUUGGACUUCUCGCCUGUGCCCGCCGGUAGCCUUCUACAAACUCUUGAUCAAUUGUGAUGUCUGAGUAAUAAAUUUAAUAGUUAAAACUUUCAACAACGGAUCUCUUGGUUCUG